UCAAUGAUGCGUCAAAUUCUGGUGAGGUUAUGGAGCGGAGGGGAUCAUAUAAGCUCACUCGUCCAGUUAUGGAUGUGCAUCUUGGAUCAUCGAUAUCUCAGAAUGUAGGUUCCAGUAACCCGAUUGAGAAGCAUAAUGUGAGCAAUGCACCAAUGCCAUCUACUUCAUUCGCUGUGCCCAGUGCUUUCAAAAGAAAUUUACCUGAGGGACCAGAUGAGGCUGCAAAUGUUGGUCGUGGAAAUGGAAACAGAACUGGUGCUUCAAGCAGCUGGAUGCCAUCAUUAUACCGAAAUUCUUCUGCUAAGUAAUUGCCAUGAUUUGAAGGGAUCUGGAAACACAAUUUUGCAAGCUUCAUGAAGUUUGGUAGCUUGAAUUCUUUGUGGCAAGAUCUGCCAGAUCGUAUAAUGUAAUUUUUAUAAGGUGACUACAAGCACAGACACAUUGGAUGGUGCCAAGACCUGGCCCAUCAAAGCUUGGUUUUUUCAUGCGUGCAUAGAUGGGAAAAUUGAUUGAAGCCAGAUUCGUGUCUAAUUAUUCAAUGGAUUAUAUGAUUCUCAUGCUCUAUCCUUGUUGCCUUUUGUUUUCUGGAACAAAUUGCUGGAUGUUUACCUGGAUCAGUUUGAAUCUAGGUACCCACAUCCUUCAGAAUCUGAAAAAUAAAAGGAUUAAUCCAGCGUUUCAGAUCAAUAUGAUUCAGAUUUGGUGUGAGAGGAGGGUUUAAUAUAUGAAAGGGAGGAAGUCCACCUUGCUUGUUGAAUGGAUUUCUGGUAUCUUAAUAUUUUAGUGACUAUGAGGGAAAAUUAGAUCUGGGAUUUCAGGGAAACUAUAACAGUUUGGAUGGAAGAGCAUUUUUAUAAUCUGGUUGCUACACAAUGUUCAUGCUUGUGUUGAUCUGCCUUUGCAUGAAGCAUGCUUUAGGACUUUCAUAUUUACGAGUUUUCCCACUCAUAGGUGUUGAUGCAACUUGCAAGACACCUUUAGACCUUAAAUAGAAGCUUAUAGCUCUUCGUCCAUGCUUAAGCUGUUAGAAGACGAAGAUAAUCCCAGUUACCAAGUUCUGACAACUUCCGAAGGAUUAAAAAAAAAAAAAAAAAAAAAUGUCCACCAAAUGUAAUGAAGUUAAAAAAAAAAAAAAAAAAAUUAACCCAAAUUGUCCCAAGGGUUUGGAAGAAAAGAGUCACUCUUAUUUUUAGAUGUUAAUUGAAUUUAAUAAUGUAAUGGGUCUGAUUUUGUCAUGUAUAUGGACUAUAUGAUAAUGGAUAUGCUAAUAAAAAGGAAAAAAAUUAUUAUUACGAAUUGCACUUUUGAUUGGCUUCAAAGUUUCAACCCCUAAAUCACUUUGUUAGCGAGAUUAGGUAUUUUGAUUAUUGAUGCCUU